GAUGAACGCUGGCGGCGUGCCUAAUACAUGCAAGUCGAGCGAACGGACGAGAAGCUUGCUUCUCUGAUGUUAGCGGCGGACGGGUGAGUAACACGUGGAUAACCUACCUAUAAGACUGGGAUAACUUCGGGAAACCGGAGCUAAUACCGGAUAAUAUUUUGAACCGCAUGGUUCAAAAGUGAAAGACGGUCUUGCUGUCACUUAUAGAUGGAUCCGCGCUGCAUUAGCUAGUUGGUAAGGUAACGGCUUACCAAGGCAACGAUGCAUAGCCGACCUGAGAGGGUGAUCAGCCACACUGGAACUGAGACACGGUCCAGACUCCUACGGGAGGCAGCAGUAGGGAAUCUUCCGCAAUGGGCGAAAGCCUGACGGAGCAACGCCGCGUGAGUGAUGAAGGUCUUCGGAUCGUAAAACUCUGUUAGUAGGGAAGAACAUAUGUGUAAGUAACUGUGCACAUCUUGACGUUACCUAAUCAGAAAGCCACGGCUAACUACGUG
rnacentral:rRNA from 1 species